rnacentral:rRNA from 1 species
CAGCCGUAAACUAUGCGCGUUAGGUGUAUCGGUGACCACGAGUCACCGAGGUGCCGAAGGGAAACCGUGAAACGUGCCGCCUGGGAAGUACGGUCGCAAGGCUGAAACUUAAAGGAAUUGGCGGGGGAGCACAACAACGGGUGGAGCCUGCGGUUUAAUUGGACUCAACGCCGGACAACUCACCGGGACGACAGCAAUAUGUAGGCCAGGCUGAAGACCUUGCCUGAAUCGCUGAGAGGAGGUCAUGGCGUAGACGUCU